GAUGAACGCUAGCUACAGGCUUAACACAUGCAAGUCGAGGGGAAACGACAUCGAAAGCUUGCUUUUGAUGGGCGUCGACCGGCGCACGGGUGAGUAACGCGUAUCCAACCUGCCCAUCACUUGGGGAUAACCUUGCGAAAGUAAGACUAAUACCCAAUGAUAUCUCUAGAAGACAUCUGAAAGAGAUUAAAGAUUUAUCGGUGAUGGAUGGGGAUGCGUCUGAUUAGCUUGUUGGCGGGGUAACGGCCCACCAAGGCAACGAUCAGUAGGGGUUCUGAGAGGAAGGUCCCCCACAUUGGAACUGAGACACGGUCCAAACUCCUACGGGAGGCAGCAGUGAGGAAUAUUGGUCAAUGGGCGAGAGCCUGAACCAGCCAAGUAGCGUGCAGGAAGACGGCCCUAUGGGUUGUAAUCUGCUUUUAUAAGGGAAUAAAGUGAGAGUCGUGACUCUUUUUGUAUGUACCUUAUGAAUAAGGACCGGCUAAUUCCGUG
rnacentral:rRNA from 1 species